rnacentral:rRNA from 1 species
CCCUUAGAUGUCCGGGGCCGCACGCGCGCUACACUGAAGGAAUCAGCGUGGCUUCCUCCCUGACCCGAAAGGGUUGGGAAACCCGUUGAAUCUCCUUCGUGAUAGGGAUUGGGGCUUGAAAUUGUUCCCCAUGAACGAGGAAUUCCCAGUAAGCGCGAGUCAUAAGCUCGCGUUGAUUACGUCCCUACCCUUUGUACACACCGCCCGUCGCUACUACCGAUUGAACGGUUUAGUGAGGGCCUCGGAUUGGUCUCGGCCCGCUCUUUACCGGGCGGCGCCGUUGGUCGAGAAGACGCUCGAACUUGAUCGUUUAGAGGAAGUAAAAGUCGUAACA